CCUACGGGUGGCAGCAGUGAGGAAUAUUGGUCAAUGGCCGCAAGGCUGAACCAGCCAAGUCGCGUGCAGGAAGAAGGAUCUAUGGUUUGUAAACUUCUUUUAUAGGGGAAUAAAGGUAUCCACGUGUGGAUUUUUGCAUGUACCCUAUGAAUAAGCAUCGGCUAACUCCGUUCCAGCAGCCGCGGUAAUACGGAGGAUGCGAGCGUUAUCCGGAUUUAUUGGGUUUAAAGGGUGCGUAGAUUGUUUUUUAAGUCAGCGGUGAAAGUUUGUGGCUCAACCAUAAAAUUGCCGUUGAAACUGGAAGACUUGAGUGUAUUUGAGGUAGGCGGAAUGCGUGGUGUAGCGGUGAAAUG
rnacentral:rRNA from 1 species